rnacentral:rRNA from 1 species
GAGUUUGAUUCUGGCUCAGGAUGAACGCUAGCGAUAGGCUUAACACAUGCAAGUCGAGGGGCAGCAUGAACUUAGCUUGCUAAGUUUGAUGGCGACCGGCGCACGGGUGCGUAACGCGUAUGCAACUUGCCUUACAGAGGGGGAUAACCCGUUGAAAGGCGGACUAAUACCGCAUAUACUUAUUCGGUUGCAUGACCGGGCAAGGAAAUAUUUAUAGCUGUAAGAUAGGCAUGCGUCCCAUUAGCUGGUUGGUGAGGUAACGGCUCACCAAGGCAACGAUGGGUAGGGGAACUGAGAGGUUUAUCCCCCACACUGGUACUGAGACACGGACCAGACUCCUACGGGAGGCAGCAGUGAGGAAUAUUGGUCAAUGGGCGAGAGCCUGAACCAGCCAAGUCGCGUGAAGGAAGACUGUCCUAAGGAUUGUAAACUUCUUUUAUACGGGAAUAACGGGCGAUACGCGUAUUGCUAUGAAUU